UACAUAGGUGUCAAGCGUUAUCCGGAUUUAUUGGGCGUAAAGAGUGCGUAGAUGGUGUAAUAAGUUUGAGGUUAAAGUCUAAGGCUUAACUUUAGUUUGCCUUGAAAACUGUUUCACUAGAGUAUGGCAGAGGUUAAUGGAAUUUCAUGUGUAGCGGUGGAAUGCGUAGAUAUAUGAAGGAACACCAGUGGCGAAGGCGAUUAACUAUACCAUUACUGACAUUCAUGCACGAAAGCAUGGGGAGCAAAUAGG
rnacentral:rRNA from 1 species